rnacentral:rRNA from 1 species
AGGUUACUGCUAUCGGUGUUCGCCUAAGCCAUGCGAGUCAUAUGUUCUUCGUGAACAUGGCGUACUGCUCAGUAACACGUGGAUAACCUGCCCUUGGGUCCGGCAUAACCCCGGGAAACUGGGGAUAAUUCCGGAUAACGCACAUAUGCUGGAAUGCUUUAUGCGUCAAAUGGAUUCGUCCGCCCAAGGAUGGGUCUGCGGCCUAUCAGGUAGUAGUGGGUGUAAUGUACCUACUAGCCUACGACGGGUACGGGUUGUGAGAGCAAGAGCCCGGAGAUGGAUUCUGAGACAUGAAUCCAGGCCCUACGGGGCGCAGCAGGCGCGAAAACUUUACAAUGCGGGAAACCGUGAUAAGGGGACACCGAGUGCCAGCACCAUAUGCUGGCUGUCCGGGUGUGUAAAAUACACCUGUUAGCAAGGGCCGGGCAAGACCGGUGCCAGCCGCCGCGGUAACACCGGCGGCCCGAGUGGUGAUCGUGAUUAUUGGGUCUAAAGGGUCCGUAGCCGGUUUGGUCAGUCCUCCGGGAAAUCUGACGGCUUAACCGUUAGGCUUUCGGGGGAUACUGCCAAACUUGGAACCGGGAGAGGUAAGAGGUACUACAGGGGUAGGAGUGAAAUCUUGUAAUCCCUGUGGGACCACCUGUGGCGAAGGCGUCUUACCAGAACGGGUUCGACGGUGAGGGACGAAAGCUGGGGGCACGAACCGGAUUAGAUACCCGGGUAGUCCCAGCCGUAAACGAUGUUCGCUAGGUGUCAGGCAUGGCGCGACCGUGUCUGGUGCCGCAGGGAAGCCGUGAAGCGAGCCACCUGGGAAGUACGGCCGCAAGGCUGAAACUUAA